CCUUUCUCAUGAAAUAGUUUGAAAUCCUAACACUGGAGCUCGAGAACAAAGAUCUAGUGCAAAUGCAUAUUCUCUGAAGUUAAAAUUUAUACAGAACUACGAGGUCACUGAGUUAAAAUUAAAAAAUCCAAGGGUUUGGAACCGUACCAAAACGCUUAGCUAGAAGGGAACUAAACUAAAACAAAUAGACAAGUACAGGGAGAGAGUCUACAUUUUGAGACCUGACACUGCGGUUUCAGCCACCUUGGUAAACAAGCAGAGAAACAAAUGUUUAGCAUAACUAAGGGGACACAAAGCAUCAAUCAGCCUACUUCUAAACAUCUGCUUACAUUUCUCUGCCUCACUCAAAUAUUCCCCUACUCUAAGCCUUUUUAACUUUUCACUGCUGCCAAACAUCUAAUCAUCUAAGGUUUCCUAAUUCUUAUUGUUCAAUGUACAAAAAGAACAAACCAACAGACAGAAUAGAAAACGGAGAAUAGAGAACCAGAUAGCUCCCAGCUACAAUGCUACUCAUCCUAAAUAAUAAUCAAACAAAUAGGGCUAUCAAAACGAAUGUUCUGGUGCUACUGGUAGCGAUGUGUCGGUUGCUGCUGUAGUGCUAACCUUUUUUCUCAUCUCUAUGACCUUCCUGUGGGAGUUGGAGUGCAAUGAUGGAACAAAGGUUGGACUAGCGGCAGGACGGUACUCUGGAAAGAGACGGCCAGACCUGUAACGAACCCCACAAGCGUUGCAAAGGGUUUUUGGUCCCAUUGGCCCCUCUCUCCAUUGUGGAGUCUUGGUCACCUCACAGUGUGAGCAUUUUCUGAUUUCAACUGGCUCUUGUGAGCACGGUUUCACCAUCUCUACAGUACAGGACAGCAGCCUCAGAUUUUUUUUCUUCUGUUUUUUCUUGGCAAGGUUCAACAUUUUCUCAUCAGGGUAGGUCUCUGAUUCUGAUUCAGAAGAACUCAUAGGAUGAUAUUGUUUUGGAGAAUAGGAAGUGGACAUGAAUGAAAAUGUGCGUCGCUGGGGCCGUGGGCGCUUGCUUCGAGGGCGCUUCACUGGGAUGAUAAAUUUGGGGUGAUAGACCAUUGCAUUUUCAGCUGAGGAAGAGCUGCUGCUGCUUUCAAGGACAGAAACAGGACUGGAGGUACAGAAUAGUUGUGAAUAUUUAACCUCUGAAGAGUUAUAAUUAAGGGGAAUGCUUCUGCUAGAGGAUGCUUCGGUGGCAGUCGGCCACUGUUUUGGCUGAGAAGAUUCAUCACACAAAACUGAGGAGCUAUUCUUUACUUUAAGAAUGUCACUACUAUUUUCACCAUAAAGGCCAGCCGUUAAACCUGCCAAAACAUUUGAUGGUGGUGGCACCAGCUGUUGAAAUUUGGCCUCCCAAUCUUCCACUACAUUCGGUUCCACAUCCUCCAAAGGAAAAUCUAAAAAUUUAAUGGCAUCAUCAAAAAAAUCAUCUGGGACCCCAUUAAAAUUUUCAUCAAAAAACCAAGAACCAUUCAUAUUAUUACCCUGUGUAUCAUACAGAAAAAAGAAGAACAAAAUAAUCAGGCAAUUGUUAUUCAAAACCAUAAACGCACACUCCCCACAAAAGAAAACGUGUUAUAGUACAGAAAUAAAGGAAGCAAUACUCAUUAAAGUCAUACAUUACUUUCUUAUACUUGAGGAUCAUACCUUAGAACUCAGCUUCUUCUAGAUGUGCAACAUGUAUCUAACACAGGUACGUUAAUUGUGAUAUGAGUUUGAUGUUGGUACAUUUGGUUCAUGUGUCACACUUCUGUUUUUGCCAGUCUUCAAACAGGAAGGAUUAUUAUAAUUAAAUAAAUAAAUGCAUAUUCUGUGAUUAUAACCUUUUGUACGAAGUUAUUAUCAAGAUUUUGUCAACCAAACAAGCCUUAAUAAUAACAAUAAUAAUAUAUCUUAUUUUUCACUGCAUCUCAUUCAUUGGUUCAAAUUGAAGUCAUAACCAUGAAGAAAACAACCACGUAUCUGAUUUGAAAAUGAUGUCCUUGUUUAGCCACAUUUAGACUUAUGCCUUUGCCAGCUUUCAAACAAGAAGGAUCAUAAUAAUUCAAUAAAUAAAUGCAUCUUUUGUGAUUAUAAACGGACUUUCAUAUUCUAAAUUACUUUUAGAACCCUUUGUACGGAAGUUAUCAUCAAGUUUUUGUUGCCAUAGAAAAACUUAUGCAUAUGUGUUAUUAUAAACUAUAAUUGGGUAAGGUAAUUACAUUUAUUUCAUUUAAUUACUCUGAUUAUAAGGACUAUGCAUUUUUUUUUUUGGGGGGAAAAAGUAUAUCCCUAAAUGAAUUAAAUGCGUUCUUUGAUUGUUCUAUAAGAAAUCUAGUAAUUAUGAGAAAGGAAUUGUAACC
rnacentral:misc_RNA from 1 species